CACGUAGGAAUCGAGCGUUAUCCGAAUUUACUGGGCGUAAAGCGCGUGUAGGUGGUUCGAUAAGUUGGAUGUGAAAGCUCCUGGCUCAACUAGGAGAGGCCGUUCAAUACUGUCGGGCUGGAGAGCGGUAGAGGGAGGUGGAAUUCCCGGUGUAGUGGUGAAAUGCGUAGAUAUCGGGAGGAACACCAGUGGCGAAGGCGGCCUCCUGGACCGUUUCUGACACUGAGACGCGAAAGCUAGGGGAGCGAAC
rnacentral:rRNA from 1 species